rnacentral:rRNA from 1 species
UACGUAGGGGGCUAGCGUUGUCCGGAUUUAUUGGGCGUAAAGAGCGUGUAGGCGGCCAUGUAGGUCCGGUGUGAAAACUCGAGGCUUAACCUCGAGAUGUCAUCGGAAACCAUUUGGCUAGAGUCCGGAAGAGGAGAGUGGAAUUCCUGGUGUAGCGGUGAAAUGCGCAGAUAUCAGGAGGAACACCGGUGGCGAAGGCGGAUCUCUGGGCCUUACCUGACGCUCAGGCGCGAAAGCGUGGGGAGCGAACAGG